rnacentral:rRNA from 1 species
GUACGGGAGGCAGCAAUCAGGAAUCUUGCGCAAUGGGGGAAACCCUGACGCAGCGACGUCGCGUGGAGGAAGACGGCCUUCGGGUUGUAAACUCCUUUUAGUAGGGACGAGCAAGGACGGUACCUACUGAAUAAGCCCCGGCUAACUCCGUGCCAGCAGCCGCGGUAAUACGGAGGGGGCGAGCGUUGUCCGAAUUCAUUGGGCGUAAAGCGCGUGUAGGCGGACCUAUAAGCCUGAGGUGAAAGGUUGGGGCUCAACCCCAUACAGUGCCUUGGGGACUGUGGGUCUGGAGGCAGGCAGAGGAGUGUGGAAUUCCUGGUGUAGCGGUGGAAUGCGUAGAGAUCAGGAAGAACACCCAUGGCGAAGGCAGCACUCUGGGCCUGUACUGACGCUGAGACGCGAAAGCGCGGGGAGCGAACGGGAUUAGAUACCCUGGUAGA